CCAGUGACACAGUCCUGGGAACGGGCAACUGAGAAAACAGGUCUCCUGGGUCCCUGGACCUUUUCCCUGAGUGACUGCAGCAGUGAAAGACACACACAUUGGGGCUGGAAAGAGGAAGAGAGAAGAGAAGAGGGGAAGGGAGGGGAGGGGAGGGGAGGGGAGGGGAAGGGAGAGGAAAGCUUGGGGAAGGAGGGGGCCCCUAAGACUGGAGCCACUCACUCAGCAAAUAUUUAUUGGGUGCCUACGAUGUGUCAAGCACUGUUCAGGGCACCAUGCAUAGAGUGGUGAACAAGCCAAAGUCCGCCUCACGGGGCUUAUGUUCUAGUGGGAAGAAACAGGAGGUGAACAAGGAGACUCACAAAUAAGAUCAUUUCACAUGGUGACGCCCAUGGUUCAGUGCCCACCAGGCCCCCGCCUGCCCCAGCAUCCCCCGCGCGGCGAAGAUGGGUGCCCCAGGGAAUCUGGCCACCAUGCCACCUCCUCUCCUCUUCUUCUUCCUCCUCUUCCUUACCCCUGUGGGGGUCAGGCCCCAGAAACCGCUGCUGGUGAAGGUUAAAGAAGGUGACGCUGCAGUGCUGCUGUGCCCCAAUGUUACCCGUGAAGUGCUGGCCUUGUCUCAGAACAAGUUGGAAGCCUUCACAAAGCUGGACCGAGAGCUACCAGACCUGGGCAUCCAGCUGCUCAUCUUGAAUGUCACUGACCAGAUGGGGGGCUUCUACCUGUGCGAGCUGGGGCCCCCUUCUGAGCAGGCCUGGCAGUCUGGCUGGACAGUCAGCGUGGAGGGCAGUGGGGAGCUGUUCCGGUGGAAUGCUUCAGACCUAGGUGAGCCAGACUGUGGCCUGGGAAACAGGCCCUCUUCUGGUCGGCCCCUAAGCUCUCAGCUGUAUGUGUGGGGCAGAGACCAUCCUGAGAUCUGGGAGACAGACCCUGCAUGUCCUCCACCUAGGGGCCACAAGGAAGACCUCACCGUGGCCCCUGGCUCUACACUCUGGCUGCCCUGUACGGUACCCCCUGCCUCCGUGGCCAGAGGCCCCAUCUCCUGGACCCAUGUGCACCCCAAGAGGUCUAACAUCUCAUUGCUGGGCCUAAACCUGAGGGAGGAUGCCCCAGUCAGAGAGAUGUGGGUCCUGGGCACCCUCAGGGGAGGGGCUGUUCUGUUGCUGCCCCAGGCCACAGCUCAUGAUGCUGGAACCUAUCAUUGUUACCAUGGCAACACAACCAUCAAGAUGCGGCUGAAGGUCACUGCCCAGUCAGCAGUAAAGUAUUGGCUCCUUAAGAACGGUGGCUGGAAAGUCCCUGUUGUGCCUUUAGUUUAUCUGAUCUUCUGCCUGAGUUCCGUGGUGGGCUUUCUUCAUCUUCGAAGAGCCUUGAUCCUGAGGAGGAAAAGAAAGCGAAUGGUUGAUCCCACCAGAAGGUUCUUCAAAGUGACACCUGCCCCGGGAAGCGGCGCCCAGAACCAGUACGGCAACGUGCUCUCCCUUUCCACGCCCACCGCUGGCACGGGACGCGCCCUGCGGUGGGCUGCUGGCCUGGGGGCAGCUGUCCCGUCCUACGGAAACCCGCGCAGCAACGUCCCGGAGGCCAGAGCGGAGGGGUCCCGGAGCCCAACGGCAGCAGGCCCAGAAGAAGAUGAAGGGGAGGCCUAUGAGGAGCCAGACAGUGAGGAGGGCUCUGAAUUCUACGAGAACGACUCCAAACUUGGACAGGACCAAUUGUCUCUGGAUGGCAGUGGCUAUGAGAACCCUGAGGAUGAAGCCUUGGGUCCUGAGGAUGAAGACUCCUUCUCCAACGCAGCUGAGUCUUAUGAGAAUGAGGAUGAAGAGCUGGCCCAGCCAGUCACCAGGACAAGAGACUUCCUGAGCCCUCAGGGAUCAGCCUGGGACCCCAGCAGGGAAGCAACCUCCCUUGACUCCCUGUGUAUCUUAGGCUGCACUUUCCUUCUCCAAGCCCCCAGCAUGGCUCCCAGGCCUCCAACUUUCCAUCCCCUGCCCAAGCAGGGUCCCAGUCCUAUGAGGAUAUGAGAGGGAUCCUGUAUGCAGCCCCCCAGCUCCGCUCCCUUCGGGGCCAGCCUGGUCCCAGUCACGAAGAAGAUGCAGACUCUUAUGAGAACAUGGAUAAUCCUGAUGGGCCAGAACCAGCAUGGGGAGGAGGGGGCCACAUGGAGACCUGGAGCCCUAGGUGAUUCCCUUCAGCCUGGGCCCCCUCAGGCCCGAGAUCCACACCCAACUCUGAAAUCUGGGGCCCCCAGCAGACGGUGUCCACCUCUGAAGUGAUGUUGCACAGGAUUUGUGUGCGUGUGUGUGUACAGAAGUGAAACUCUGGCCCCCUUUGUGAUCGCCAAAUAAACUCAUGAGCUCUUCCA